rnacentral:rRNA from 1 species
UACGUAGGGUGCGAGCGUUGCCCGGAUUUAUUGGGCGUAAAGAGCUCGUAGGCGGCUUGUUGCGUCAGCUGUGAAAACCCGCAGCUCAACUGAUGGGCUUGCAGCUGAUACGGGCAGGCUUGAGUUCGGUAGGGGAGACUGGAAUUCCUGGUGUAGCGGUGAAAUGCGCAGAUAUCAGGAGGAACACCGGUGGCGAAGGCGGGUCACUGGCUCGUAACUGACGCUCAUGCACGACAGCGUGGGGAUCAAACAGG